rnacentral:rRNA from 1 species
AGUGAACGCCGGCGGCGUGCUUAACACAUGCAAGUCGAACGAGAACGGGCUAUAGCUUGCUAUAGUUGUCAGCUAAGUGGCGCACGGGUGAGUAAUGUAUAGGUAAUAUGCCUCUUACUAAGGGAUAGCAAAUGGAAACGUUUGCUAAUACCUUAUACUCCUUAUUAACAGAAGUUAAUAAGGGAAAGAUUUAUUGGUAAGAGAUUAGCCUGUAUUGUAUCAGUUAGUUGGUGGGGUAAUGGCUUACCAAGACUAUGACACAUAACUGGUUUGAGAGGAUGAUCAGUCACACUGGAACUGAGACACGGUCCAGACUCCUACGGGAGGCAGCAGUGGGAAAUAUUGCACAAUGGACGAAAGUCUGAUGCAGCAACGCCGCGUGGAGGAUGACACAUUUCGGUGCGUAAACUCCUUUUAUAUGAGAAGAUAAUGACGGUAUUAUAUGAAUAAGCACCGGCUAACUCCGUGCCAGCCGCCGCAGUAA